rnacentral:rRNA from 1 species
UACGUAGGGUGCGAGCGUUGUCCGGAAUUAUUGGGCGUAAAGGGCUCGUAGGCGGUCUGUCACGUCGGGAGUGAAAACCCGGGGCUCAACCCCGGGCCUGCAUUCGAUACGGGCAGACUAGAGUUCGGUAGGGGAGUCUGGAAUUCCUGGUGUAGCGGUGAAAUGCGCAGAUAUCAGGAGGAACACCGGUGGCGAAGGCGGGACUCUGGGCCGAUACUGACGCUGAGGAGCGAAAGCGUGGGGAGCGAACAGG